UUGGGUUAUGGCAUUCAUCACUAUGAGUCCAAGAGGAAUCAAGUACAUCCAAUAUUUAGCCCAAAAAGACCUUUCAGGUGGUUUUACAGCUUCACCCUCUCCAUUUUCUCCAAGUUGUUCCUCAGCAAAUACUGGAGUUCUUGGUGCCUGCUCACUGUUCUUCAGAACUGUAUGGGAGUUGAAUGACCACUUGGCAGGAAGUUUCAUUUGCCGAGGGUAGGGGCAUGCUCCAGGGGCACCAUAAUUGACAGCCAAGAUAUUAACACCUUCCAUGUGUAUAACAAAAUGCUCAUCCAAAC
rnacentral:misc_RNA from 1 species